UAUGUUGAUCCGUAUGAGUCGUAC
rnacentral:miRNA from 1 species